rnacentral:tRNA from 1 species
GCCAGUGUGGCAUAAUGGUUUGAGCAUUGGGCUAUGACUUUGAAGACCAGGGUUUAAUUCCCAGCUUGGCCA